rnacentral:rRNA from 1 species
GCCUAACACAUGCAAGUCGAACGAAGGCUUCGGCCUUAGUGGCGCACGGGUGCGUAACGCGUGGGAAUCUGCCCUCAGGUUCGGAAUAACAGCGAGAAAUUGCUGCUAAUACCGGAUGAUAUCGCGAGAUCAAAGAUUUAUCGCCUGAGGAUGAGCCCGCGUAGGAUUAGCUAGUUGGUGUGGUAAAGGCGCACCAAGGCGACGAUCCUUAGCUGGUCUGAGAGGAUGAUCAGCCACACUGGGACUGAGACACGGCCCAGACUCCUACGGGAGGCAGCAGUGGGGAAUAUUGGACAAUGGGCGAAAGCCUGAUCCAGCAAUGCCGCGUGAGUGAUGAAGGCCUUAGGGUUGUAAAGCUCUUUUACCCGGGAUGAUAAUGACAGUACCGGGAGAAUAAGCUCCGGCUAACUCCGUGCCAGCAGCCGCGGUAAUACGGAGGGAGCUAGCGUUAUUCGGAAUUACUGGGCGUAAAGCGCACGUAGGCGGCUUUGUAAGUUAGAGGUGAAAGCCUGGAGCUCAACUCC